GCCGUCGUUGUAUAAUGGUCAUUACGUUGCUUUCCGGUUUAUCCAUUAGGCAAAGAUUGUGGGUUCGAGUCCCAUCGACGGUU